UGCACAAUUGCUGGAUUGUGUGGCAAAAAUAUAUUUAGUUUUGUAAGACAUUGCCCAACUGUUUUUCAAACUGGCUGUACCAUUUUGCAUUCCAACCAGCAAU
rnacentral:pre_miRNA from 1 species